GAUGAACGCUAGCGGCAGGCUUAAUACAUGCAAGUCGUGGGGCAGCAGGACUGUAGCAAUACAGUUGCUGGCGACCGGCAAACGGGUGCGGAACACGUACGCAACUUACCCUGAACUGGGGGAUAGCCCGGGGAAACCCGGAUUAAUACCCCGUAAUAUAAUGGAGUGGCAUCACUUUAUUAUUAAAGCUCCGGCGGUUCGGGAUGGGCGUGCGGCUGAUUAGGUAGUUGGUUGAGGUAACGGCUCACCAAGCCUACGAUCAGUAACUGGUGUGAGAGCACGACCAGUCACACGGGCACUGAGACACGGGCCCGACUCCUACGGGAGGCAGCAGUAAGGAAUAUUGGGCAAUGGAGGCAACUCUGACCCAGCCAUGCCGCGUGGAGGAUGAAGGCCCUCUGGGUUGUAAACUUCUUUUAUAGGGGACCAAACCUGUGUAUUCUUACGCAGUUGACGGUACCCUAGGAAUAAGCACCGGCUAACUCCGUG
rnacentral:rRNA from 1 species